rnacentral:rRNA from 1 species
AUUGAACGCUGGCGGCAGGCCUAACACAUGCAAGUCGCACGAGUGGCGGACGGGAGAGUAAUGUCUGGGAAACUGCCUGAUGGAGGGGGAUAACUACUGGAAACGGUAGCUAAUACCGCAUACCAUCGGAUGUGCACAGAUGGGAUUAGUGAGGAGGUGGGGUAACGGCUCACCUAGGCCACGAUCCCUAGCUGGUCUGAGAGGAUGACCAGCCACACUGUAACUGAGAAACGGUCCAGACUCCUACGGGAGGCAGCAGUGGGGAAUAUUGCACAAUGGGCGCAAGCCUGAGGCAGCCAGGCCGCGUGUAUGAAGAAGGCCUUCGGGUUGUAAAGGACUUUCAGCGGGGAGGCGUUACCCGCAGAAGAAGCACCGGCUAACUCCGUGCCAGCAGCCGCGGUAAUAC